rnacentral:rRNA from 1 species
AUUGAACGCUGGCGGCAGGCCUAACACAUGCAAGUCGAGCGGAUGAAGGGAGCUUGCUCCUGGAUUCCGCGGCGGACGGGUGAGUAAUGCCUAGGAAUCUGCCUGGUAGUGGGGGAUAACGUCCGGAAACGGGCGCUAAUACCGCAUACGUCCUGAGGGAGAAAGUGGGGGAUCUUCGGACCUCACGCUCUCAGAUGAGCCUAGGUCGGAUUAGCUAGUUGGUGGGGUAAAGGCCUACCAAGGCGACGAUCCGUAACUGGUCUGAGAGGAUGAUCAGUCACACUGGAACUGAGACACGGUCCAGACUCCUACGGGAGGCAGCAGUGGGGAAUAUUGGACAAUGGGCGAAAGCCUGAUCCAGCCAUGCCGCGUGUGUGAAGAAGGUCUUCGGAUUGUAAAGCACUUUAAGUUGGGAGGAAGGGCAGUAAGUUAAUACCUUGCUGUUGUGACGUUACCAACAGAAUAAGCACCGGCUAACUUCGUG